UGGAGCGCCCUCCGUCUCCUACCCUCCCACGCCGCGACCGCCCGGCUAGACGCGGCGGUCCUGAGCGGGCUGGGCGCCCUGCGAGCUAGGCCACUGUGUGGUCAGCGGCCAGCAGCCGGGCCGGUUGGCUGCUGCCUCUAGUGUAGUGGGACGUGGUAGUAAGACGGAGUCGAGUAGGAAGGAGACGCGUGGGCUCGAGGAGCUACACACGACGGACCCUCCCGAGCGCGAGCGGCGAGCUGGUCUCGGUGUGCCGGUAGGCCAGCAGCAACGUGAGCGGCGGGGGAGACGAGGAGGUGGAGUUGAAGCCUGCGUGCACUAAAGACACGGGUGGGGUACGAUGGUCUCCUUUGGCGUCCUCGAAGUUCUGUCGUCCCCGUCGGCCGAAACGAGUUGUAUAAGUAGAUACUAAAAGAGGGGCUAAAACUUUAAUAAACCGGGGAUAUCAGGGGAACUCUUUUUAGUCUCAUAAAUACCUGAUACGAGAUACCCAACUGUUUAAACUAACGUCCCCGACCGUUUCAUUCACGUCACAGUGGCAACGUGUAUAUAAGUCCCGAUGUAGUUUGAAGUCAGUCUUCUUGUACUGCUCCGUCCCACGAAGUACGUCAUAACCCUCACUUUCAAACCACAUAUUAGUCACAGCGGAGGUGAGACGGGGCGGGGACACGAAAAAGGAGCUACCUUUACGCCCGGUGGUACGGCGAGUGAAGCGCACGUUGGUGAAGUAGAGGUUGGACAGCAACCUCUCGUAACGUCUGGCUCGCCUGUUUGCUACU
rnacentral:rRNA from 1 species